rnacentral:rRNA from 1 species
CCUACGGGAGGCAGCAGUGAGGAAUAUUGGUCAAUGGACGAGAGUCUGAACCAGCCAAGUAGCGUGAAGGAUGACUGCCCUAUGGGUUGUAAACUUCUUUUAUAUGGGAAUAAAAUGUUCCACGUGUGGGAUUUUGUAUGUACCAUAUGAAUAAGGAUCGGCUAACUCAGUGCCAGCAGCCGAGGUAAUACGGAGGCUACGAGCGUUAUCCGGAUUUAUUGGGUUUAAAGGGAGCGUAGGUGGGUUGUUAAGUCAGUUGUGAAAGUUUGCGGCUCAACCGUAAAAGUGCAGUUGAAACUGGCAGGCUUGAGUACAGUAGAGGUGGGCGGAAUUCGUGGUGUAGCGGUGAAAUGCUUAGAUAUCACGAAGAACUCCGAUUGCGAAGGCAGCUCACUGGACUGCAACUGACACUGAGGCUCGAAAGUGUGGGUAUCAAACAGGAUUAGAUACCCUAGUAGUC